rnacentral:rRNA from 1 species
GAUGAACGCUGGCGGCGUGCCUAAUACAUGCAAGUCGAGCGAACAGACGAUGAGGUUGCUCGUCUGACGUUAGCGGCGGAAGGGUGAGCAAGAGGUGGAUAAGCUACUUAUAAGACUGGUAGAGCGUGGGAAAACCGGGACAAAAACGGUAAAAUAUAUUGAACUGAAUUGUUGAAUAGUAAAAGACGGUUAUGCGGUCUCGUAUAGAUGGAUCCUGGCCGCAUUAGCUAGUUGGUAAGGUAACGGCUUACGAAGGCAACGGUGCGUAGCAGACCUGAGAGGGUGACCGCCCCACCUGGACUUGAGACCCGCUCCAGCCCCCUCCGGGAGGACGCAGUAGGAAAUCUUCCGCAAUGGGCGAAAGCCUGCCGGAGCACCGCCGCGUGAGUGAUGAAGGUCUUCGGAUCGUAAAACUCUGUUAUUAGGGAAGAACAAAUGUGUAAGUAAAUAUGCACGUCUUGACGGUACCUAAUCAGAAAGCCACGGCUAACUACGUG